rnacentral:rRNA from 1 species
AGUGAACGCUGGCGGUAGGCCUAACACAUGCAAGUCGAACGGCAGCACAGUAAGAGCUUGCUCUUACGGGUGGCGAGUGGCGGACGGGUGAGGAAUACAUCGGAAUCUACUUUUUCGUGGGGGAUAACGUAGGGAAACUUACGCUAAUACCGCAUACGACCUACGGGUGAAAGCAGGGGAUCUUCGGACCUUGCGCGGUUGAAUGAGCCGAUGUCGGAUUAGCUGGUUGGCGGGGUAAAGGCCCACCAAGGCGACGAUCCGUAGCUGGUCUGAGAGGAUGAUCAGCCACACUGGAACUGAGACACGGUCCAGACUCCUACGGGAGGCAGCAGUGGGGAAUAUUGGACAAUGGGCGCAAGCCUGAUCCAGCCAUACCGCGUGGGUGAAGAAGGCCUUCGGGUUGUAAAGCCCUUUUGUUGGGAAAGAAAAGCAGCAGGUUAAUACCCCGCUGUUCUGACGGUACCCAAAGAAUAAGCACCGGCUAACUUCGUG